rnacentral:tRNA from 1 species
GCGCCCAUAGCUCAGGGGAUAGAGCAAUGGUCUUCUAAACCAUGUGUCGCAGGUUCAAAUCCUGCUGGGCGCAC